UUGACAACCUUGGCACAUAGAUAUGCUGUAGAAUUUGGUGUCUUUUGGUUCAAUUAAAAAAAAUAAAAGCGACCUUGUUUUUUCAUUAGCAAAAGCUCGCUUGAUCUUGAUUUUCAGUAUGAAUACAGACCGUGAAAGCGGGGCCUCACGAUCCUUCUGACUUUUUGGGUUUUAAGCAGGAG
rnacentral:ncRNA from 1 species